ensembl:lncRNA
GUUUAUUCUCGUGAUGUAUUUAACUGUAGAAGACAACGGGGGAUUGUCUGUUUGGUUAUACGAGAAAAACUUGAAUACAAAUACCAAAACAUUCGUUUUCGCAAACAUUUAAGAGAAAUCUUCUAAUGGAAAAGAAUUACAUUCAAAAAAAAGUUGUAGUAAUAUUUAACUUGAGAGAAUGUAUUUGUCUGUGCUGUGUAAAUAUCAACAUGCUGAUAUAUAUAAAUAUGAUUAUAUGUACACAGUUGAAUAAUUGUGCACUCCAUAAAAGUUGUUAUACAACAAAUGUUGAGCACAGAGUUAUUCAAUUGCAUUUACUUUGGUUCUGUUUAGGAGCUCACAUAGUUUAGCCUUUGCCCCCUCAAUCCCCUUAAAUUAUUCACACUAUCAGUUUGUCAUAUAUUCACCUCAGAAUCUAUACAAAUAUUUUACUUCAUUUUUUCUCAUUGAGAAAGGGGCUAAAGGUUAAUUAAAAUACGGUGGCAAUUGUGGAAAGAAGAUAAUCAAUUUAAACAGUGAGACUAAGAGUAAUUUAUUAUAACAUAGUAUAUAGAUGAUAGUAGUGGGUUUUAAGUAGGUUGUUUUAAUUUAAUUUAUGUUUUGUACGUAUUUAUCCAUCAAAUAUCACUUGUCAAGCAAGGAGGAAUUCCUGUGAUACACAGAAGAUUUUAAAUCCUGACAUAUAAGAUCAGAAAUGACAUACGGUCAUGACAAUUAGUGAGCAUGGUACUAUCUCAUAUUUGUUGUGCUGUUUCUGAAACUGCUAUAGUGUGCUAUCAGUAUGAAAAUUGUGAAUCUGGGGCCAGUGAACAUCAGAUUUAGCGACGUGUGUGUUUGUUUAUUUGUUCUGAUUUAUGUAUUGGCAUCAGUUUCCUUUCGUCUAUGAACCCUCGUCCUGUUUCGAUUGCCUGUUAUGUGGUCCGGAAAGUUGCGAGAUAGAGUCAUACAUAGUUUUCUAAAUGGUGUUUCUAUCACACUGUAAUCAGUGACCUACAUCCUCACGUUAACAUUAACUUGGCAAAUGAGAAUAAAGUACAUUAAAGACAUUGCAUAGUACAACACAUAUUAUUCCGAGGCGCUCUGAACAAUAUGGAUCCACGUGUACUUCUCCUGCAUCCUCGAUCCUUUAUCUCCUCUCUUUCGGAAGGUGGACUUACUGCAUGCGUCCUCGUAUCCUGAAGCACCCCGAAACAUGUUGGAGAGACAGAAGCUUAAAGCUGCAGGAAAGUUAGAACACACAGUAACGCUGUGCUAUGUUUUUUGAUCCAUCAUCGCGGUUGAAGCUCGGCACACACAGCAGCUCUGCUAUAUUCUACGCAAAGCACAAAGUAGGUGCUGCAAUAAUAACUUCCAUUGCAGAUAUAAAUACUCAUCCUACUGCCAGUCCUUUGUUUGGAUAUACACGAUUGCCGAAGGGUAAGAGAUGUGUUUUGACUGGUAGUUUUGCUUCCACAGUACUCAUCAGGAUGAAUUGUUGUACAUCUCCAGUAUUUAUUGAACCAAUGCACAGCCUUGGUUUCAUCUUUUUGGCUUUGUUUUAAAUCAAGGUUCUUUGAUUCAGGCGUGUAGAAGCACCUGGCUUUCUCUCUUCCUCUAGUCCCCCCCCACCUCUGUUGUUUUCCUCUCUCUCUCUGUCUUUCUCUCUUUCACUGUAGCUCCUAUAAAUAUGCUGAAAUGAAAUAUACUCUGUUGUUAGUGGUGAAUGAUGUCUUGUGAUACUCUCUCUACGCCUUUGGAUAGUGCUGUGUUUAUUGUGUAUGAUGUAUUCAUAUUAGUAUUUAUGAUAAUGAUAAGUCAGAGAAAAAAAAUAUCCAAGACUCUCCAAAAUUCUGCUGUAUUCUUAUUAUAUGGGAUCCAUGUGAAACAAAAUGAAAUAAACUUGCGAUUAUUCUG